rnacentral:sRNA from 1 species
AGAAUAAAACGUGAAGGAUAACGUUGCGUCAGCAACGGCCCGUAGGGCGAGGCGAAGCCGAGUCAUCCUGCACGACCCAUCA